rnacentral:misc_RNA from 1 species
AAGUCGUAACAAGGUUUCCGUAGGUGAACCUGCGGAAGGAUCAUUAAUGAAAUUUAAGGAUGUUCUUUUUAGAAAUCCGACCAAUAUCAUUUCCAACACUGUGAACACACUUAUUUUACACCCAUUUUAAAACUCGUAGAGUCUAUAGGAAUGUAUAAAGUCUCUUAAUUGAGCAUAAAAGUUAAACAAAA